GACGAACGCUGGCGGCGUGCCUAAUACAUGCAAGUCGAGCGCAGGAAACUGACGGAACUCUUCGGAGGGAAGGCAGCGGAAUGAGCGGCGGACGGGUGAGUAACACGUAAGGAACCUGCCUCAAGGAUUGGGAUAACUCCGAGAAAUCGGAGCUAAUACCGGAUAGUUCAACGGACCGCAUGGUCCGCUGAUGAAAGGCGCUCCGGCGUCACCUUGAGAUGGCCUUGCGGUGCAUUAGCUAGUUGGUGGGGUAACGGCCCACCAAGGCAACGAUGCAUAGCCGACCUGAGAGAGUGAUCGGCCAAAAUGGGACUGAGGCACGGCCCAGACUCCUACGGGAGGCAGCAGUAGGGAAUCUUCCACAAUGGACGAAGGUCUGAUGGAGCAACGCCGCGUGAGUGAUGAAGGUUUUCGGAUCGUAAAACUCUGUUGUAAGGGAAGAACACGUACGAGAGGGAAUGCUCGUACCUUGACGGUACCUUACGAGAAAGCCACGGCUAACUACGUGCCAGCCGCCGCAGUAAGAC
rnacentral:rRNA from 1 species